GACCCACGCGUGCGGUUACCCCCACCCACGACUCCCACCACCGCCACCAGCACGCCGAUCCAAUCCCCUCGCCCUCCAAACUACCCCAGCCUAUGAAUACCUUCGAGUCCAGGAAGCUUUGGUCGUCAGGGUCGUCGUCGAGGCCGCCCAGAACGGGGGGAGUCGAGGACGAAGACGGUUUUGGAGGAGCCAGAGCCCAUCGCGGCUACCGCUGGCAACUCGUCGGAGACGGUCGAGGGGCGGGAGCUCAUCUGGGAGGCGAAGAAGCCGUUGAAAUCGUUCGAGGUGAUGUUGCUACAGUUGCUGGCAGCGGAGCAGGGGCGCUCGCACUUGGACCCUGCGUCGUCAGCCUUCCACUGCGAGCAGCGCCUGGGAGAAAGCGGCAACAGCAAGGACGAGCCAUGGAGGUGGUAGUGGCGAAGAGGACGCAUCGGUGGGCCUCAUUAGCAACGAAGUCAACCCCAAGCACAAUCAGCGGUUUAUUUCCACAGCUCAGGUGUGCUUGUAUUAAUGUUUCAAACCUCUACAUUUUAGUUUGGACCGGAUAACUCAAGUUAUUGACAAUAAAAUGGAUGGAAAAUUCCUGGUGUUUCUACUUGCAAAACGUGCAGUACAUAGUGGAGCACAUAAUACCACAUAUUCGACUAGCCUCCUGAAUCAACUGUGCGUUUUUGGUGACAUAUUGUACUGUUCCCUCAAGAUAGUUGUUUCCCAGGAUUAUACUGCUCAUUCAUGCUUCUGAUCCUUGACUUUCUAAUCAUUGUACAGUAGCAUAUGAACAUGUUCUUGGGGUAGUACAGUAGUAUAAAUGGAUGUUUGAAGGUAAAUGAGUAGUACAACAUUCGCCAUUUGUACAUAGAGAUUAAAGGAUCACUUUAAUAUGUCUUUUUGUCAACCACGGUACCUGGUGCACGUUGAGUACAUGAAGACCGACGAGUGGAACUGGGAUAAGUGGUUUCAAGCAGAGCAACAUCCCAGAGUUCUCCUUGGAGGCGACCACCUUGUAGGAUCAAACCAGUGUUCAGUUCAGGAUUUCAGAUAAGGAGACACCAAUGGUUGGGCUGUAACUUGAACACCUGAUCUGGUCAUCUUGGCAUCUCGGCCUCAUAUGUGAACGGAAUUGGAUGUGUUGAGGAUUUGUCUCUCAUUCUCCUUCUGUUAUCUCUACACUUGAUGUUUUUAUGUGUCUUCACAUCAAAAGAUUUGGACAGUGAGCAUUGGAGUUUGAACGGGAACAUUUGAUGUGAGAGGAAGAGAUGUCUCUCAUGCAACAUGGAGUGGGUUGACGGUGUGGCAGCUCAGGAUACUGUACAAGUGAUAACAUAGAUUUCAUCUAUCAAGUUUGAACAAAUUAUGGAUCUUAAUGUUUGCCUCCUAUUCAGUUGUGGCUUUGUUCGCAGGUUUUCAAUGUUAUUUAG